rnacentral:tRNA from 1 species
UGGAUCACCUCCUAACAGGGAGACUACUGAUUGUGAUGUCUGAGCGCUGAAGAAAGGAGCAGAGAGAACCUGCAAGGGGGAUCAAAGUGAAUGGAAGCAGCACAUUUGUCUCAGGCCACGAUCCUGUCGUCUCGAAGGUCGAUCGGUACCUCAGGGAGAAUCGUAGAAGGAUGUUAAUCGAAAGGUUGGCAUGACUGUCUAUCGAUUGUUCAUCAGUUCCUAAACUUUGUCUAGGUCACCCCCCCAGAGGGUUACUUCCUGGGCCAUUAGCUCAGGUGGUUAGAGCGCACCCCUGAUAAGGGUGAGGUCCCUGGUUCAAGUCCAGGAUGGCCCAUUCGUGUUUGGGGGUUUAGCUCAGUUGGUAGAGCGCCUGCUUUGCAAGCAGGAUGUCAGCGGUUCGAGUCCGCUAACCUCCAUCCAACCGAACCUCUGAACCACCGGGAGGAAUUUUGGUGGUGGUGGCGAUAGACGAUGGUGAAUAGGUUGAUUGACGCCCAAGUGCGUUCUGAGAGCAGCGACGAAGCGGCUCGAGGAGCAUGGAUUUCAGCCUCUUCCCCUGGUGAAUGUUGAAGGCGAGAGAAUCGCUGAAGACGUGAACGACGGGAAGACGCUGAACUCAAGGGACUGGAGCGAAAGCGAAGGUCCUGCGUUCAGCAAGAACCUUGACAACUGCAUAGGUGAGGUCUGGAAAGAAAGCAUCUCAUGGAUGCCGAAACCAGCCUGAAACAAGGACCGAAAGGUCGUUGUGAGGGAAGGUUUUGGAGAUUCUUGAGUUUAGAGCCGAGAACUUCCAGCAGCUUCUUGCUCCGCCGAGGAGGAAGGAGUCAGAUUUUUUCUUUGAACCACUCUUGAUGGUCUGCUUUGAUGAGGGCCCCCGAAAGGGAGACCUUAAGAGAGAAGACAGGAAGGGGAAGGCAAAGGGAAGAGAAUAGGAAUCAACACCCUAACUGCUGAGGAGUUGAAAUGGUCAAGCUACAAAGGGCUCACGGUGGAUACCUUGGCACACAGAGGCGAUGAAGG